UCGGGGCCGCGGCGGGCUCCGGGCUCCCCCACCCCCCGUGGGCCGGGGUCCCACGCCAGCGGCGGACCCGCUUUGCGCCCCAAACUUCGGGCGACCGCGCUCACCCCAGCUCCGGCGGCCGCGGCGGGGGCGCGGGAAGGAGCGGCCCCCCUACCCGCCCGCCCGCCUCCCCCCAGCCCUGCCCUGCCCUGCCCUCACCUGUGCGGGGCGCGCGGCCGCGGGGCUCCGGCGGGCUCCCUCCCGGGACGGUCAGCGCGGGAGCAGUCGGGGCGUCGGGCGCCUCGGGAGGCGGGCGGGGGCGGGGCGGGGCGGGGGGGGGGGCGUCCGCGGGAAUCUCGGAGCCGCCGGCUCCCUCCCGCCCCGGCGCGGCCACCGCGGCCCGAUGAGUCAGGCGAGGGGGCGGGCGGCGGGGGCGGCGGGGACGGGGGGGAGGGGAAGGGGGCCGGGGGGCGGGGUCCAGGGGGGAGGGCGUCCAGGUCCGGGGUCCGGGGUCCGGAGGGGGAGGGGGUCCCGGGUCCGGGAUCGGGGCGGGGGCGGGGGUCCGGAUCCGGGGUCCGGGUCCGGGGUCGGCGGGGGUCCGGGGUCCGGGCUCGGGGUCCGGGGGCGGUGACCCGGGCGCCCUACCUGGGCGGGGUGGGGGGGUGGGGGUGCGCCACGGAGCGCUGGGAGCGCGGGCGCCUGUGCCCUGGAGGUCAGCGGCCGCGGGGUCGUCGCCGCCCGCGAGGAAGACAAAAGGGCCCCGGGGGCUGCGGGGAAAAGUUUUCAGCGCGGCUCCAGCCGGACCCGGGGAAGCACCCGCCCGAGCGCCGGCGAGGCGGGGGCGGGGGCGGGCUUCCAGGAGCGUCACCGCGCGCUGGGGACCCGGGUCCGGCCGGUGUCGCCGCCGCGCGGCCCCCGCCGCCGCACCCCUGCCCCCCCCGCCCCGGGGCGCCCCUUCCCCGCCCCCUCCCGGGCCCCGCCGGGCCCCGCAGCCCCCCCGUCCCCCGUUCCACUCGCGGCUCCGGGACGGCCGCGUGCAGAGCCUGGCGGUGGGGACGGAGGAGCCGCGGGGAAGCGCCUCUCGGGGCCGGAGGCCGCGCGACACGGACACACCCACCCGAGGGGCGCGCCGCCGCCUGCCCCGGGCCGGGGUCCCGAGCCGAGGAGCUGCAGGGCGCCCCCGCGAUCCCCGCCUCCCGGGAGCCGGCGCCGGGCCCACGCCCCUCGGACCCGCCUCGGCCGCCGCGUAGGGGAGGGGAGGGAAGGGGAGGGGAGGGGGCGAGGGGGAGGGAGAAGGGGCGGGGAGCGGAGGGGAGAGGCGGGGAGGGGAAGGGAUGGGACGAGGAGGGAGGGUACGGGGGAGCGGGCGAGAGGGGGAGAGGGCGGGGAGCGGAGGGGAGGGGCGAAGAGGGGAGGGGCGAAGAGGGGAGGGGAGAUGUGGAGAGGGGAGGCGAUGGGACGAGGAGUGGAGGGUACAGGAAAGGGAGGGGGCGGGGA
rnacentral:lncRNA from 1 species